rnacentral:lncRNA from 1 species
GAAGCCGUCCGCGGCCCCCACCCCUCCCGCCUGGCUCGGGCGCCAGGAGAAGCGGACAUUUUAGCCUCCUCUGCAAUCCGCUCUCUCGUUCGUGUCCUUCUCCCCCCUCUCGUCCGGUAGGGCCGGCAGUGUAGAUUUCCCCAGGGGCGGGGGUGGGAUCUGAGCAAUCACUCGCCCUCCCCCCUCCCAGGGGCGGGGAGGGGGUGAUUUAGGGAGGACUCCACGGGGCCCAAAGGUUCGCACCGCCCCGCCGCGGCCCAGCCUGCAGAAGCCCCCCGCUGCCGCGGCGCCCCCGCUCCCCGCCCCGCGAGGCGCGCGCAGCUGCGCCCGGGCCUGUCCUCGCUUCACCCCCACUCUGCCCCUUCGGUAUUUCUCAAUGACCGGCGCUCCGAGGACACUUCCGACGCGGAGGGAGGGGGUGUCAUUAGCGCUCGGUUAUCAGUUCCUUCCGGUCUCCCCGAGCUCAACCCUGCGCGCGGCCGGGCCGCGCCUCGGGCGAUCUGGUGCCUUUAUUAUGAUGUUUAAGUAAGCAGUCGUGUGUGCCAAGUGAGUUUGUAGCCCAGCUGUCUCCCCCAAGCCCCGCUGGCAGGAAUGGAAACCCAAGCUCUCUCGUAAUGCAGGGGAUGAUGCAAACUUAGAAACUGACCCGGCGCCCGGGAAUGAGGCCCCCCCGCCCCGGGCGUGCGGCGGCCCAGUCGGGGCAUGAAUGGCUGGAGCCCGAUUGCAUAAUCCGCGCGGUAUAAAUAGCCGGCGGGCGGGCCGCUGACGCGCUCGGUUGUGCCGUUAUCGUGCAAUGCUUCAUCCCCGGUGCCGUUCAAUCCCAGGUCGUUUUCCCUUUCAGCUGCAAUGCCGGGAUUUUAAAUAGCAGAGAUGAAAGGCCCCUGCCCCCGCCUCCCUCCUCCCCUGAGUUCAUGUAUUAUGAAUGAAACGGCAGCCUCGCUGCUUCCUGAGGUGCUCCACUUCAGGCUGGGGUGCAAUGGCUCGAUCUCGGCUCAGUGCAACCUCUGCUUCCCGGGUUCAAGUGAUUCUCCUGCGUCAGCCUCCCAAGCAGCUGUGAAUACAGGUUGGAGUGCAGUGGUGCUGUGUCUGGAGUUUGUUCCUGCCGUUGGGUUUGUGGUCUUGCUGACUUCAAGAAUGAAGCCACGGACCUUCACGAGAAAUAUUACGUUGUAUGGAUGUACCACUGUUUGUUUAUCCAUUCUUCAGGUGAAGGACAUGUGGGUUGUGCCCAGCGCGGGCUGAAUAAAGGUUAUGGAAAGGAGGCUCUCUUGAUACCAAGCUUCAGGAUCCACCCACAGGAAAAGAUACACACACAGGCACAUUGGAAACGCAGUAGAAAAUGGCUGCCAAUUUAAAACCAGAAGUUAAGAAGAGCAAACUCGAAUGUACAGCAAGAGAGCUUCAGGCUGGACUGGCUUCCAGCAGAAGUGGGACUGGAAACCUCGGAUUCUAUUGUCUCUUCUCUGUGAAGUGGGAAAACAUGUCAGUAUCUGAACUUGAGCUUGGUAAUUACUGCUCAUUUCUCAACCUUUUCCAAGCCACGUAACUCCCCUAAGGCUUAGUUUUCUUAUCUGUGAAUUGCGAGAUGGUAUGUUCUUCAUCACGAGGUUGCUAUAAAGACUGAAUGAGAUAAUGUGUGUGGAAGCACCAAGCAUGGUCCUUGGCAUGCAGUAGAUGCUCAAUAAAUAUGAACUGGAGUACACAUGCACUCUGCUCCCUCCUGCCCCCUCAUAGUGCCUGGUCUGGCUCUGGGCUCCCUGGGAUAUGGCAGGUUACCAAAGCAGGCACUAAGGCAUGUCUACCCUUGGUACCUUAUUACCUAGGUUUCCUGUGCCACCUGCUUCAUUCUAAUCGCAGAUUUCAGGCUCCAUUCAAACAGAACCUCACUUCUGCUAGCUGUCAUGCUCAAAAAGGGACUGAUGACCACUGAAGCAGGCUAUGAUAGUGAUUUAUGAAUGUCAUUCCUCCAGACAGCAUUUGGAUUAUUACUGGUUUUGCUUUUAUUUUAUUUGGCG